rnacentral:rRNA from 1 species
UACAGGGGGGCAAGCGUUGUUCGGAAUUACUGGGCGUAAAGGGCUCGUAGGUGGCCAACUAAGUCAGACGUGAAAUCCCUCAGCUUAACUGGGGAACUGCGUCUGAUACUGGAUGGCUUGAGUUUGGGAGAGGGAUGCGGAAUUCCAGGUGUAGCGGUGAAAUGCGUAGAUAUCUGGAGGAACACCGGUGGCGAAGGCGGCAUCCUGGACCAACACUGACACUGAGGAGCGAAAGCCAGGGAGCAA